AAUUUUUUAUUUUAUCAUCUAGUACAAUACUAUACAGUGCCUCACUCCUAAAUGUUAAACAUAUUCGUCUCUUUGAUCUCUAGCUAGGGUUUGGUCUUUUCUACGACAAUGCCCAUUUUACUUCUUCUUUGCCUCUUAUUCUUCGUCGACUUCAUCUUUUUCAUCGAUUUCAUCUCUUUCAUUGAUAUCCUCAUAGUUGAUUUUGGCGAUGAGAAGCUUUCACGGUAUACAUCACUCGCUUAAAAUCAUAGUUGAAACACCCAUCUCACACAUCCUCUAUCGAAUCUUGUUUUUGGGCGAAGGGUUUGGGUUAGGGUUUAUGGAAGCUGAUUUUGGGGUUAUGGGUGUGAAUUUCUUCAAAGAUGGUGAUUUUGGAAGUUUCAAAAUCUGGUGUUAGGGUUUAAUUCUCGGAAUUCUUGCAGAAUUAGGCCAUAAAUCCGGUGGACUUGCCUCUCUGAAUCUAAAUCAGGGCUAUUUUAGUACUAAUUACUCCAUGGGAGAGUGAAAACUGUUGGACAUCCGAGAGGAUUGGAGAGGUGGAAGAGCUACUUCAUUCAACAUUAUUCCUAGUAGUACUAGAGCUAUUAAAAUUGUGGGAAAGGUGAAACCAAUGGAAAGACAUCUAAGUUACAACUAUUGAUGUCCCUGUGGUUGAUCUCACUGUGAGGUUAGAGAUAGAAACAUAUGAUAUCAAGCUGUGGACUCUCACUUUUGGUAGAGAUUUCUACUAACUAUCUGCGCCAAGCUCGGUCAUUGCCAUGUGUUUAUAUUGAGUGGCCUUGUGUUUCUCAUUUUCUUUGGUUGUUUGUCGGUGGAGUUCGGAUAAAGCUGAAUAAAGUAGAGAUAGACAAGCGCAUGACACUCCAGCGAAAACCCCUGAAGAGACACGAGCAACUGUCGUCAUUCCAUCUUAGCACUUUGAGUCGAAGGUGAAGGCGAAGCACUAGUUGGAGCAAUUUUCGAAGCCCCAAUUUAUUGAAAGGAUAGAGCUGCGGAAUUGUUAGAGAACCAGUGAUCACAAUAAUAAUUACAUUUGAUCAGAUGGAUGUUGCAGCUCGAAUGUAUUACGAGACCGUGGAAGGAAAAGAUGAAGAGAAGACUUUAUGGUCUUGGGUCCCAAGGGAAACUAUAGUAUGAGCUUGGUCCUACUUUCGAUUCUGAUGAACAUCACUCUCCAGCAGCACAUUAGUUAGCUUUGUCUUUUCAAAUUCCUUUCUAUCAGUUGAAGAAUAAUUUUGAAUGUUGACGCUUUAGGAUUUAUGUAUUUUUGGAUCUACUUGUUAAUGUUUAGAUUACUAUUUAUAUGAAAGUGGAUUCUUGUAAUGUU